rnacentral:misc_RNA from 1 species
GAUGAAGAACGUAGCGAAAUGCGAUAAGUAAUGUGAAUUGCAGAAUUCCGUGAAUCAUCGAAUCUUUGAACGCACAUUGCGCCCCCUGGCAUUCCGGGGGGCAUGCCUGUCCGAGCGUCAUUUCUGCCCUCAAGCACGGCUUGUGUGUUGGGUGUGGUCUCCCCGGGGACCUGCCCGAAAGGCAGCGGCGACGUCCGUCUGGUCCUCGAGCGUAUGGGGCUCUGUCACUCGCUCGGGAAGGACCUGCGGGGGUUGGUCACCACCAUGUUUUACCACGGUUGACCUCGGAUCAGGUAGGAGUUACCCGCUGAACUUAAGCAUAUCAAUAAGCGGAGGA